UGACGUGGGAGAUAUUAUGGGAGAUUAAAUCUGAUUUUUGCCAUGGGAAAUGAUGGAGAUAAUGUGAAAAUCAAGGAGAGAAUCAAGGAGAUUACGUUGAGAAAAUCUUGGGAGAGUUUCAUGGGAUUGUGCAACAAGAAAAGGCUCAAAACAAGUCCAGAUUCAUUCCUCAAUUCCCUCAAGAUAUGUUGGCCGAAAUUAAGGAAUUAAAAUCUGCAAUUUUAAUGCGAAAAUCAAGGGGAGGAUGUUAAGGAUAAAGCCAUGGAAAGAUUUAAAGGAGAAAAGGUUCAAAAUGCGUCCGGAUACAUUGUCUAGGUUCAUGCCUAGAUAUUUGGCCGAAAAUUGUGAAUAAAAUCAGAUUAAAUCAUGGAAAAAUCAGCAACAAAAUAUUAGGGAUUGAUUUUGGAGCUUUUUAAUUGGUUGGAUGACACAAUAGAGCUGACGUGGCGCUACGUGAUUGGUCUAAGCUGUGUGGCAUAAUCAGAUUAAUUCCUUGGGAAAUUAAAGGAAUGAUCAUGAAGCUUGGUCAUCCCCCUAUAUAAACCCCCCUAUGCUUGACGUUUGAACACACCACGACACACUUUCAUUCAGAAAAAUCCUCCAUAACGUCAUAACCUCUCUCUCUCUCUCUCUCCAUUAUCUAGUUGCAAAGUUCUGCGUUUUCAAGCAAGGAGAGGAAGAAGAGGAAGGAGCCGUGAAGAUCAUAUCCUCCAUCAUCCACCUUGAAGGCUUGCUUCCAAGAUUCAAUAUCCAACCAUCAAGCUCUCCAUCUCCAUCUCCACUCACGGUGUGUACCCUCAAUCCCGGGUUAGAAUGAUCCCUAUUUACCAUUUACUAACGAUGACAUUUUUAGGGUUAAAUUAUACGCUUACUUUUAACGCUAUCAGGUAUUUUGUGACAAAAUUAAACUUGUCACAUAAACGUUAACCUUAUAUGCAGUGAUUACUGCCGUUUGAAUUGUGUGAUUUUAGGUGAUCUUCUGAACUAAAUUAUAUGCAGGGAUUACCGCUUUUUGAAUUGUUUGUUUUAAUGUAAAUUCCUGAACUAAACUCUAUGCAGGGAUUUAUAUGAUUUCUAUUAUUUGUUUUAAUGUGAUCUCCUGAACUAAGUUUCUAUGCAGGGAUUACUGAUUUUACUUAAAUCAAUUGUAAGUGCGGUUAUGGUUUGAGGAUUGUAGUGAGUUGUGAAAUGAGUUGUGAGGUCAUCAUUUUGACAAAUGCUUUAUGUUGAGGGGAAGUGAAUGUGAUUUGUCGUUGAGAUGAUAUGAUAUGAUAUGAACUUGAUGUUUGGUCGUGUUUUGUGGAAUUAAAUAUUGUUGCUUUAAUUCUUCUUACGAGUUGAGAAAUUAUAAGCAUGCGUGACGUGAGUUACUUUAAUUGAAUUUACUCAUACGGGCUGAAAAGCUUACCGGGUUUGUUUUGUUCAUUCCCGGUGCACUAUUCUAUGGUGUAGGGGUUUUUGUGCAGGUUUGUUUAUCGAGUGAUCAUUAUCAAAGCUGAGGUGUAUGUUCGAUGGCGUGGACGUGGAAGGGUGCUCUUAGUUUUAAGUCUUCCACUGGGUAGUGAGUUGUGGUGAGUGUGUUUACUUAUUGAAUUGUCAUUCAGUUUGAUUUGUAAACUAUCUGUAAUGUAAUAUGUGACUCUAAAGAACGAGUCGGUAUUGACAUUGUGAGCUCAGUUUGUUUGUUGCUUAGUUUAAAUAAAAAAAAUUUCUAUGUG